UCGACCGGACCUCGACC
rnacentral:miRNA from 1 species